UGUGUGAGGGUGCUGUUUGUGUGCUGUGUGUGUGUGAGGGUGCUGUUUGUGUUUGUGAGGGUACUGUUAGUGUGCUGUGUGGGUGCUGUGUGUUUGUGAGGGUACUGUUAGUGUGCUGUGUGUGUGGGAGGGUGCUGUUUGUGUGCUGUGUGUGAGGGUGCUGUGUGUGUGUUUGUGAGGGUGCUAUGUGUGUGGGUGCUGUAUGUGUGUGGGUACUGUGUGUGUGGGUGCUGUGUGUG